rnacentral:rRNA from 4 species
GUUUCCGUAGGUGAACCUGCGGAAGGAUCAUUAA